GUUACUGGCCUCCCCUGACUGGUCCAGUGGUUCCAAAAGAGAAUACGAUGGGCAGGUCGCGCGGUGGAUGAAGCGUCACUGUGCUGGCAGGGUGCAUUUCUCGACUCUCCAUCUUCAGAAUCCGUACCCCGAGGCGUCACUUUGUGAAAUGGCCACCAGGUGGCGACUAUAGCUGUUCUUUUUCAGUGUCAAGACGACAGUUGUAGCAGGAGAGCGGAGAAGAACCAGAUGGUGAGAUGGGCUUUGUUCUGGCUGUCCCACACCGUGACUCCAAGCCCAGCGAAUAUACAUGCUCCGUGUGUAACUCCUCCGUGACACCAAGUCUCAGGGUUCAUGAACUACGACUGUGAUGGUUCUUCGGAGGUGGAGAUGGGUGAGGCGUUUUACGCGGAACCCAGAUUGGAUGCAUAAAUUGAGCAGAUGUGUGCAUGCAAAUAGAAUUGUAAAAUAUGCUUAGGAGCUAAUUAAUCGCAUCUAUAAGAGCAGAGGGUGGCUGUAAGCAGAGGAGGCGGGACAAAGUCAGGUGACGAGCACAUUCACUUCACCCUGAUGCCUGAGUCCACAUAUUCUAGGCCCUGUGUGGCUCAGUGGGUUAGGAUCCUGUUAGCGAUUUAGAUCACAGGGUCGGCAGUGAUUUCACCUCUUACCAUUGGAUGCCAUUCUGAACCUAAAAAAAGCAUCUACUGAAUGUAACUCCAGUGUGUGUCUCACCUUCUGUUGACACCAGAAUGGCUCCCUUUUGCUUCUCAUUCCUCACCGCCAUCUUUGUUAAACCCGUCUCCACAUUUUUCCUCUUUCAACAUUCAGGUACAUGAUCGAUGAGUGAGCCUGUCAGGAAAGCCGAGCCACAUCCCAGGCAUCACAUCCUGUACCUCACCAUUAUGAGCACCGGUCAGGGAGCGGUUGUCCCGAUGGGCGGAGACUGACUGGACCUCGGGAAUGACAUAGACGAGAUGUGGGCAGGGCCUGCACUGAUUUGUCAGUCUAUUUAAAUGCUGGACAAGAGGCAAACCCAAAGAAUGUCACUCCAGGAAGCGCCCGGCACUGUACACUCUGGGUGGCGGCCAGCCCGUCGCAGAUCUCCUCCUCGUGAACCCAUUCUGCUCUCCUGCCGCUGCGGGCCAACCUCCCGUGCUCACUGGAAGCUCAGCAAGAACAUACUCUACCUCUAUUGCUGACCAAGUACACUGUAAUGGCCUACAUCUCUGUGCACCCAGAGGGUGUCAGGAAAAUCUAUACUGCCCGAAUUUUGCUGAUAGUUUGUUUUAAAAUAGAUAAAUAUUUGCAUACAUACACAUAUCCAUAUACUCGUAUAUGUACACAUAUAUAAUACAUAUCUUCUUGAGCUACAUAUAUGAUAUUUAUCUUCCUGAGCUAUAUAACACAGCCUGGUGCUUGAAAUGUGAAUGUACAGCUACGGCCUGUUAAACUGAGUCCUAAUACUAAAAGUGUCUCAAGGAGACUCACUCCGAUGUCUUGGCUGUGUCACUAAUAGCCAGACUGAUGGUUCAAUCCUGAUUUCUUCUCUUACUGUCACUCUUCUCCCUUCUUACUUGGCGUGGAGCGUAACUGUAUGCAUCCCCAGGGUGCAAAGUGCCAAAGUGGAUUAUAUUAGUCACUUUUACAUAAUGUAGGAGUCCAAGUGUGGGACUAUCUAGCCAUAUAUGUAUAACUUGUAUUUUCAGUUACUGCUAACAGUCAUUAAUAGUGGGAUAUGGGCCUUUCUUAUUAGCCAGUAUUUAUAUUUAUACUCUGAAAAACACUCAGCAGCACAGAAUGAUGCAAUAUCAUCCCCUGGAUAUUUCUUCUGUCGUGUUCCCAAAAUACAAUCUGCGAAGCUUCAAAAAUGAAUAAGGCAGAUUAAAACAUGAUCACACGGUGCAGUGAGCGUGAGGCCCACGCUGCCUGCGGCACGAGGCUGAGAUCGCGCCAGGAACGGCAGAUACCGCGCGCGAUUGGAAAACGCUCCUCCGUUACAAUGGCAUCACGUCGGUUAGCGCGACGCUUUAAUCAACUUAAUAAUUUGUUGUGGCGUCUUAUUAGCAAGUUGCUACCGUAGCUCUGUUUCAGACUCCAGAAAGCACAAACUCUUGUCUGAUUGUUUCUCAUCCCAUUACGAUAUUUAUGGGGGAAUAAGAUGUGGUGUUUGUUGUGUGCAAAUUAAAAUAUUGUGAUCCACAUUUGAUUUUGGUAACACUUUACUUC